rnacentral:rRNA from 1 species
AACGAACGCUGGCGGCAUGCCUAACACAUGCAAGUCGAACGAGACCUUCGGGUCUAGUGGCGCACGGGUGCGUAACGCGUGGGAAUCUGCCCUCUGGUUCGGAACAACAGUUGGAAACGACUGCUAAUACCGGAUAAUGACUUCGGUCCAAAGAUUUAUCGCCUGAGGAUGAGCCCGCGUCGGAUUAGCUAGUUGGUGAGGUAAAGGCUCACCAAGGCGACGAUCCGUAGCUGGUCUGAGAGGAUGAUCAGCCACACUGGGACUGAGACACGGCCCAGACUCUACGGGAGGCAGCAGUGGGGAAUAUUGGACAAUGGGCGAAAGCCUGAUCCAGCAAUGCCGCGUGAGUGAUGAAGGCCUUAGGGUUGUAAAGCUCUUUUACCCGGGAUGAUAAUGACAGUACCGGGAGAAUAAGCCCCGGCUAACUCCGUGCCAGCAGCCGCCGUAAUAC